AUGGCAAAGACUGGGUGCUACAGUCCCAGCCUGAUGAGGGAGAACAGGAACUUCUGUUCUUUGUGGCAAACCUGCUGUUACUCCUUGUGCAGUCUUUUCUUUCCGUUGUAUGUGUUACUGUCCAGAAUCUCUCCGAGGCAAGCUGUUAGAAAUUUAGAGGUAGGACUGGAAUUUGGGUCUGUUCCCUACAAACUCCUGCAAAGCCUGAAGGACCGGGCUGAUGACUGCUCUUAACAAAGUUUGGCAGGGCUGGGACAAGGAGGACUCGUGCGGGCGCCUCCAGAGACAGCGGGAACGGGAGCGUGCUGCAGAGAAGGAAAGUUCCAGGUGAAUUGCCACGAGAGGAAAUACUUCCGAGGGACUUCCCUCCGGAUAAGCCCUGAAUAUGCCGGGAGGUUUCAGCCGGGAGAAAGGAGCUGUGGAAGAAAAGCAGCCUCAGAAUAGCCAGUGGGGAUCAUCAGGUUUGCCAGCCGAGAAAAACAAGGAGGGAGAGGAGGGAAUGGGGUUCCAAUUCCUAAGGAUUUGGAAGUGGGCUGGGACAGGGGAAUUGGCUCCCCCGAGGCCGAGGAUCAGAGCGGGCUCUGCACAGGGGACGACUUCCACUUCCGAACGGGGAAGG